GACCUCUCUGGAAUGGAUAGAAACAGGCCCUGGCUCUGCCACUGUAGUCAGAGAAAAAUUUUUUUGGUAUCCAAAGUUUGUGAGCAACUUACCCUUACAAAGAUGAUGCCUAAUGUAAAAAAGCAGGGAAGGUUUUUCCACCUAGGAUGAAAUUCUCACUUACUCGUUAGGCUCUGGGAAACAUCUAGGCUGCAGGAUGGGAAAGCGCAGAGGAUCUAAGAUUGAGGAUUCUGAGGGAAAAGACAGAUCAAAGGAAGGAGAGCAUCAUUUCUCCAGUCAGGGAACUUGGAAUGAGUGGGCAGCCUGUGCUGAAGGAGAAAGGUUUGUAUUUUCUUGUGACUAUGAAAACAGCUUUUCGAAUGGCAUUUGUGAUUGCCUGCUCCUGGUCCACCAAAAUGAAGCAGCCCAGGCUCUGAACCAAGAUAAUUGAGUCCAGUGGUGGAAUUCUCCAGGAAGAAGCUAAGUAGCUGCUACUUUGGACUCACAACAUCCUGCAGAGAUGCUGAGUGCCUCAAAGAGCCUAAGCAGUAGGAUUGUGGUCUUCCAGCACAUACAGAAAUUUUCAGAAAGUGCUUUUGCUUUAUUAAUGAAAAUAAAGAUGAUAUGUGCAAAUUAA